UAGGGAAUAUUGGACAAUGGGGGCAACCCUGAUCCAGCCAUGCCGCGUGAGUGAAGAAGGCCCUCGGGUUGUAAAGCUCUUUUGUCCGGAAAGAAAAGCUUCGGGUUAAUACCCCGGGGUUCUGACGGUACCGGAAGAAUAAGCACCGGCUAACUUCGUGCCAGCAGCCGCGGUAAUACGAAGGGUGCAAGCGUUACUCGGAAUUACUGGGCGUAAAGCGUGCGUAGGUGGUUGUUUAAGUCUGAUGUGAAAGCCCUGGGCUCAACCUGGGAAUGGCAUUGGAAACUGGGCAGCUAGAGGGCGGUAGAGGGUAGUGGAAUUCCCGGUGUAGCAGUGAAAUGCGUAGAGAUCGGGAGGAACAUCUGUGGCGAAGGCGACUGCCUGGACCAGCACUGACACUGAGGCACGAAAGCGUGGGGAGCAAACA
rnacentral:rRNA from 1 species